rnacentral:lncRNA from 1 species
ACCUUUGCCCCAGUCUGAGGUCCUGAGCACUCUAGAGCAGGUUUUUGUCAAGGAUCGAUCUAUACUUUGCUCCGUUCAUCUUUGCCUCGAUCCCGACUAGUCUCCCAGUCCCUGCCGCUGAAAAACAUCCCCACAGCAUGAUGCUGCCACCACCACCAUGCUUCACCGUAGGGAUGGUGCCAGGUUUCCUCAAGAUGUGACGCUUGACAUUCAGGCCAAAGAGUUCAAUCUUGGUUUCAUCAGACCAGAGAAUCUUGUUUUUGAUGGUCUGUGAGUCUUUAGGUGCCUUUUGGCAAACUCCAAGCGGGCUGCCAUGUGCCUUUUACUGAGGAGUGGCUUCCGUCUGGCCAUUCAACCAGUCCAGGCCAGUUUUAGUGUAGGUUAUAGCAGAAUCAGUUGGAGGAGUCCAGGCCAGUAUUAGUGUAGGUUGAAUCAGAUGGAGGAGUCCAGGCCAGUAUUAGUGUAGGUUGAAUCAGAUGGAGGAGUCCAGGCCAGUAUUAGAGUAGGUUGAAUCAGCUGGAGGAGUCCAGGCCAGUAUUAGAGUAGGUUGAAUCAGAUGGAGGAGUCCAGGCCAGUAUUAGCGUAGGUUGAAUCAGCUGGAGGAGUCCAGGCCAGUAUUAGAGUAGGUUGAAUCAGCUGAUGGAGACCAGGCCAGUAUUAGAGUAGGUUGUAUCAGAAUCAGCUGGAGGAGUCCAGGCCAGUAUUAGUGUAGGUUGAAUCAGCUGGAGGAGUCCAGGCCAGUAUUAGUGUAGGUUGAAUCAGCUGAAGGAGUCCAGGCCAGUAUUAGAGUAGGUUGAAUCAGCUGAUGCAGUCUAGGCCAGUAUUAGAGUAGGUUGAAUCAGUUGGAGGAGUCCAGGCCAGUAUUAGUGUAGGUUGAAUCAGCUGAUGGAGUCCAGGCCAGUAUUAGUGUAGGUUGAAUCAGCUGGAGGAGUCCAGGCCAGUAUUAGUGUAGGUUGAAUCAGCUGAAGGAGUCCAGGCCAGUAUUAGUGUAGGUUGAAUCAGCUGAUGGAGUCCAGGCCAGUAUUAGUGUAGGUUGAAUCAGCUGGAGGAGUCCAGGCCAGGCUGUUGCUGCUUAGGCGACACACUCAUUCACACCACAAGGUCAAUUUUAUACUUAUACUGAAAGCAUGGUGUUUGUGUGAUUAAUCAUUGAACACGUCUCUUAUUUUACAUGUUCCUGAUUACAUUAACACAGCACUAGCCAGACACUUCUCAGUAUUCAUCACACCUGUGUGUGUGUGUGUGUGUGUGUGUGUGUGUGUGUGUGUGUGUGUGUGUGUG